rnacentral:lncRNA from 1 species
AUGGCAACGUGAUCUAAGCAUGUGACUGAAGGAAUCUAACUCAAUACACCCCAGAGAUACUAACACAUCUAUGUUGAUUGCAUCACUAUUUACAAUAGCCAAAAUAUGUAAUCAGCUUAGAUGUUAGAUAAGAGGACCAAAAUCAGCUUAUGGAGGAAAGAAUUCUAUUUCAGUUUAUGGUCUAGAGGACUAGAACCUGUGAUGGUGGAGGAGGCAUGAAAGCAGCUAGCCAGAGCAAGAAGCUGGACAAUCGCAUCCUCAACCACACACAGGGAGCAGAUGGUGCACUGGAAGCAAGGAGUUAAAUGAGAUAGUACAAGUACCUGGAAUAAAUGUCAACUGUGAUAACAGGUGAUGAAGAUGUUGAUAAUGGAGAAGAACGUGUUUCACAUAUGGAUGCAAUUAAAGAUCUUACUGAAGAUUUGAAGGACAAUGGAAGUUGGCAACCCUAGUCUGAAUUUGUAUGAAAACACUGGAACCAAAGGAAGAGUAUCUCAACCUGGCUCCAUUCCAGAAUUAUCUCUCCUCUCCGAUGUUCCACCUCCUAUUUCCUGCCUAAGCCAUUGGCCAUCAGAUUUAUUAUUAACAGGUCUUUGUGCCAAUAUACCACUUCUAACACUGUUGUCUUGAACUAAUUUCAAACAUUCAAAAAAACAUAGGAAUAGGACAGAGUGUCCCCUGCAAUUCAUCAAGGCAGAGCAAUCUGUCACCUUCUUCAUCUCUCCCAUGUAAUAUGAAGAAGGAAGUAGGACCAAUUACAUGAAAUAGAAGAUUUUUUAAUGCUGAAUAAAACUGUAUCCCAGGAAAAACACAAGCACUUCUCUAGUUGUCCCAACCUGACACUGGAACCUAGAAACUGUCUGGAGAGCCGCUGAUCCUUAACUGAUGAUGGAAGCCUAGUAUGCUGGUUCUAAGUGGAAGAAUCAUCGUCAUCACCAUCACCAUCAUCUUCACCUACAGCAUCAGCAGCAAUAGGGUAAAUCAACGCCUGACAAGAGCAAAGGCCACGUGAGCAGAAGGGAAGAUUCCAAGCAAAGUAAAGUAAGACCAAGGAGGGGAAGCUAGACAGCAGCAGCAGCUUCAAAAGCAGGGAGAACUGGAGAGAAGGGAUUCAUUUCCCAUUGGAUCUCACUAAAGAAGCCUCUCACAGUUUAUACCAAAAUUGCGUCGCAUACAAUUCUGCCUUAGUGAUGUACAAGAUACAUUUCCCUCCUUAGUGAUGUAGUGAUGCUCAAGAGUUUAUGAUUCUGUUCCUUUUAGAUUUGCUCCACUUUAUAAAUAAUAUUAC